GUGAGGGGUUAGGCAGAGGGAUUGACCAGAGGGACUGACCAGGCUGCAGGUGGGGUUAGGGGAGUCUCACAGUUUCACGAGACAUCCUUUGCCUCAAUUGCCCAAAGGCAGGUUAUGUCAAAGGAAAUCUGACACCAGCUUUUCUAGUCAUCAGUUUGCUCUCUCAUCAAAAGGGAUGUUAAGUUGAAAGAAUUUGUAGGUGUUAGAAAAUAGGAGAAAAGAGGAUUUUACCCAGAUGGAAAGAGCAGUGAGGAUUAAAGCAAUUAGCAGAGGAUUGGCUUCAUCAAUGCCUAAAAUCCAGAUCUGUGUUCCUGCUUCCUGGCAAGGUUCCUGUCCAUGCUGGGUGUGUGUAAAAUGCCAGACCUCUCCUCACUCCAACAAUACAGAAUAGCCUAUCUGACAUAUGGAGGUGCACUUUUCAAACUUUCGGUAAAAAAAGCCGUGAGGUAUGGUUGUGAAGUUCAAACCUUUUCCCAAAAGGUUUGCAUGAUCAGUAUUUCAGGAAGCAAGUGAAAAACAGGACAGGUCAAGCAAUUGCAGUCAGGAGUCACGGAUAUUACAGAGGCAGCAGCGAUUUCCCCUUCAGUAACAGGAGGUUGGACUUGGUGGCAUUUGUGAUCCCUUUUAGCUCUAGAUCUGGCAUCUAGAGUGGACACAAAACUGGAGGAAGAGCAAGAAGAGAAGCAGAAUUAGAGCUGAUGGUCGGCUGAAGCAAGAGGACACGGGUACCUUGCCAUCUUGGUCCUGAGGUCUUUGGUACGGGCCCUGGAGGAGUGCCCGCCCCAACCCAGAAGGAGCAUCAGACAAUCAUAGGACUCUCCAUUUGUCUUGAGAUUUGAGACGUUUCCUACUUUCUCUUCACCUGAUGGCACAGAGAACAGCAGAUACUACUGGGAUUUCUAAGAGGGCAAUGUGAUCAACACGGACUUCACACCCAAAUGCAAUUCUUGUGGUGCGAAGAUUUUUGAGAAAUAUUUUUGUAAGACCAGUUUAGAGCAUGAUCUGCCCAGUCAUGCUAUUAGUAAUCAAACAUGGAACAGAACCUUGGUAAUCUCCAUGAUCACUCUGGGACCUAAGCCAACAACGUAUAAGCCCUUCUGGAAUUACUGAAAUUUGCCUCAUCACUGACUGGGGUGCAUGGUGGCUUGUGAGAGAGAGGAUUCAGGAAUGAGGGGCUGUGUUAAAACACAGUUCCCAGAACUGAAGUGUACCUCCCCACCACCAAUUGUUAGGGGCUAGUGAAUGGUGUCCCAGUUCCACUUGCCCAUUUAAGACUGGGUAGCUUUUAUAAAAGGAUAUUUACUUCAAAGAUAUAGCAAGAACAAAGUACAAAAUUUUCCCCUAAUACCUGAGGGGCAUACUCUCCCCUAUAUACUACCCUGGUUUCUGGGGGAAAUGGGCUCAACUUAGGUCAGUUCCUACAUAGCAUAAGUCCCACCAAUUCUGAGUCCAAAGGCAGCACUGAUGUUGGAUGAAUUACAUCUCAGCUGUGGCUGGGCUGGUGUGCUGGGAGGCUACUGCUAUACAUCACUCCUUACUCCUCUGGGUACUGAUCCUGCCCUGGCUGCAGAUCUAUACUCUGCAAUGCCACAAUGCUGAGAAAAAAAAAACAAUUAAUGGAAAAGUUUAAAAUCCAAGUUGAUUUUCAACUCUAAAUGUUUGCUUCGUUAUUUUGAAGGAAGAGAGUAACAUACAUUUCUACCUUUUGCCUGCCUUCUUUUUUGCUAAAUAUCUUGAAACUUAGAAAUUAUAAGAUGUUGUCCAUAUGUAUCUUUAUCCUCGGUAUUGCUGCUUUCUUUUAGACAUUUUAUGGACAGCCCAAAUUCACUCUUUGUAACCUAGGACUUCAGAUCCCUCUGACACACAAAGGGAACUUUCGGUCUGUUCUGACCACUCCCACCCUUCAGUUUCAAGUGAUUCUGGAUGACAUCAAGAGCAGACUAACAUGGAACACCAGUUUUCCCACUUAAUCUUGGCAGGAUGCCAAGUUCUGUGAUGUCAUCACACAUUUUUUCACUAUGGUGAAGCCUGCCUUGUCAAUUCUUCCCUCAGUUUUGAUUUGCUUUUUUUGUUUUGUUUUUUCUUAUCCAAGAACUCAUCUUACACUUGCAGCUACCUUCUCAUUUUAGGGCUGUCCUGCUCCAGCAGCUACACUGCUAACAAUUUCAGGAUUUAAUUAACUCAGCCACAGAAACUAUUUGCCACUUAAAUUCCCAGACAGUGACUUGGCAGGAUAUGAUGGACCAGGUUUGGGUUAGUGAUGGAAGACAAAGAAAAACAAAUUAGGCAUCAUUUCAUGGUAGGCAGGUAUUACUAUGUGAGAAUAGACAAUGUUUCUCCUUUCUAAUUCUAGAUUCAAAAUGUUAGCACUGAUUAAGCAGGAAUGUAGCAUCAACAGAGUUGAUGUUCUUUGAAAAGCGAUUAUCCUUUAUUUCAAAUGAUAAAAAUACAAACAGAUCAAAUGGAGAUUGGCUCCAUCAUACUGGUUCUCUGAACUAAUGUUUUCCUCUUGCUGUAAAAUUGGCAAAAUUUAAUCUCUUAGAUGAGACAUUAUUGCAGUGUAUGAGGAGUCAGCAUGGACAAGACAUGUUCUGUAUAACUUAAGGGAUAAAAUCAGUGUGAUGCUUGAAGUUUACCAUGCUUCACCCAGACAAGGGACAUUGUCUCACAACUACAGACAACCAUGGUGGUAAAGGAUGCUAUAAGUCUUGGAAACUCACGGGGAAAGUUGACUAGUUGAAAAGUUUUUAUUUAUAAUUUGUAAGCCCAUAAUAACUAGAAUUAUUAUGCUGAAAAUAAAUCCAAUUUCAAUCACUGAGUAAAAUCAUGUGACUUCUUAAAAGUCUUCAUGCUUUACCCUUUGACCCAGCAAUAACAUUUCUAGGGCUGCAUCCCAAAGAGAUCACACAAAUGGGAAAAGAACCCACAUGU